rnacentral:rRNA from 1 species
UACAGAGGGGGCAAGCGUUGUUCGGAAUUACUGGGCGUAAAGGGCGCGUAGGUGGCCUUCUAAGUUGAACGUGAAAUCCCUGGGCUCAACCCAGGAACUGCGUCCAAGACUGGGAGGCUUGAAUCCGGGAGAGGGAUGCGGAAUUCCAGGUGUAGCGGUGAAAUGCGUAGAUAUCAGGAGGAACACCAAUUGCGAAGGCAGCUCGCUGGGACGUUACUGACGCUGAGACGCGAAAGCGUGGGGAGCAAACAGG